UAUGUGUAAGCGCGGGAACUUCAUCUGCGUCGACACUGGGAAGGCACACUUCAGGGUCAUCAGAUACGGAUC